rnacentral:tRNA from 1 species
GGCCGUGUGGUCUAAUCGGGAAGGGCGCCAGGGCAUGGACCUCGGAGCUCCAGGUUCAAAUCCUGGCACGGCACCA